UUUAGUCAAGCGUUUAUCUUGGGGAAAUAAUUUACAUCUAUACUCGUAUAUGUAAGAAUGAUCAUCAACUUUAACUUAAUAUACUUUAUCUAAAAAGGAUGUUUAAGAUAUAUAUUAUAUGUUGGUUUAUUUGUUUUAUUUAUCUAUCAAGAACAUCUCAUUAAGAUGUGUAUAAAUGUAAGAUUUGUUAAACACUGGAUUAAUUAUUAGGCUAGAAAAAAGUAUUAGACGUAAGGAUACAACAAGAGGCAGUCGGACAAAGAUUCGUGAAAUGGAUAGGAUAAGCAAAUGGCUACUUAUGAUUGUAGCCUGUCUGGUGACGAUUAUAAACAUGGGUCUCGUGUUCUCCUUUGGCAGUUUAUUUGUGGCAUUGAUGGAAAAGUUUCAAACAAAUCGGUCAACUACUGCAGCUGUGCAAUCUCUACUGGUAGGAGUGACUUUAACUUUUGGUGAGUUUAUGUAUCUACGUUUCUGUAAAGAUAGUUUGGCGACGUUCCUUCCUGGAAUGGCAGAGGAACACCUCAAUGUAUUAAUUUUCAUAUAUGAGCGUGAAUAGAAUACCAAACAUAGACCAGAGACGUUAAAAUAUUAUAUGUCUCAGCAUAGACUUCUUAUAAGCCGACUGAAUAGAUUCUUAAAAAGAAAACAGCAAAGCUUUCGAGCGGACUUUGGACCCACAGCGAUGACGGCAAAGUGGUUCGACGUCCGCGAUCAUAUUCAUUUGGU